rnacentral:rRNA from 1 species
GAUCCUGGCUCAGGAUGAACGCUGACAGAAUGCUUAACACAUGCAAGUCUACUUGAUCCUUCGGGUGAUGGUGGCGGACGGGUGAGUAACGCGUAAAGAACUUGCCCUGCAGUCUGGGACAACAUUUGGAAACGAAUGCUAAUACCGGAUAUUAUGCGAGUCUCGCAUGAGGUUCGUAUGAAAGCUAUAUGCGCUGCAGGAGAGCUUUGCGUCCUAUUAGCUAGUUGGUGAGGUAACGGCUCACCAAGGCGAUGAUAGGUAGCCGGCCUGAGAGGGUGAACGGCCACAAGGGGACUGAGACACGGCCCUUACUCCUACGGGAGGCAGCAGUGG